rnacentral:rRNA from 1 species
UAGUUGGUGGAGUGAUUUGUCUGGUUAAUUCCGUUAACGAACGAGACCUCAGCCUGCUAAAUAGUGUCAUUUUCUUCGGAAGAUGUGCACUUCUUAGAGGGACUACUUGUGAAACAACCAAGCGGAAGCUUGAGGCAAUAACAGGU